CCUACGGGAGGCAGCAGUGAGGAAUAUUGGACAAUGGGCGCAAGCCUGAUCCAGCCAUGCCGCGUGCAGGAAGACGCAUCUAUGGUGUGUAAACUGCUUUUGUACGGGAAGAAACACUCCCUCGUGAGGGAGCUUGACGGUACCGUAAGAAUAAGGAUCGGCUAACUCCGUGCCAGCAGCCGCGGUAAUACGGAGGAUCCAAGCGUUAUCCGGAAUCAUUGGGUUUAAAGGGUCCGUAGGCGGUUUAAUAAGUCAGUGGUGAAAGCCCAUCGCUCAACGAUGGAACGGCCAUUGAUACUGUUAGACUUGAAUUACUAGGAAGUAACUAGAAUAUGUAGUGUAGCGGUGAAAUGCUUAGAUAUUACAUGGAAUACCAAUUGCGAAGGCAGGUUACUACUAGUGGAUUGACGCUGAUGGACGAAAGCGUGGGGAGCGAACAGGAUUAGAUACCCUGGUAGUCCACGCCGUAAACGAUGGAUACUAGCUGUUGGGCGCAAAGUUCAGUGGCUAAGCGAAAGUGAUAAGUAUCCCACCGNGGAGGUACGUUCGUCGAGAAGUUAGAAAGUUAAAGUUAGUUAAGUUAGAGGCGNGAGAGNGCGACGGACGACGACGAGGGAGGAGG
rnacentral:rRNA from 1 species